CUCAGUUCGGAUUGGAGUCUGNAACCCGACUCCAUGAAGCUGGAUUCGCUAGUAAUCGCGCAUCAGCCACGGCGCGGUGAAUACGUUCCCGGGCCUUGUACACACCGCCCGUCAAGCCAUGGAAGCCGGGAGUGCCUGAAGUACGCGACCGCAAGGAGCGUCCUAAGGUAAAACCGGUGACUGGGGCUAAGUCGUAACAAGGUAGC
rnacentral:rRNA from 1 species